GACGAACGCUGGCGGCGUGCUUAACACAUGCAAGUCGAACGGAAAGGCCCUGCUUUUGUGGGGUGCUCGAGUGGCGAACGGGUGAGUAACACGUGUGUAACCUGCCCUUGACUUUGGGAUAACUUCAGGAAACUGGGGCUAAUACCGGAUAUGAGCUCCUGCUCCAUGGGGUGGGUUGGAAAAUUUCGGCGGUUGUGGAUGGACUCGCUGCUUAUCAGCUGGUUUGUGGGGUAGUUGCUUACCAAGCCUUUGACGGGUAGGCGGCCUGGGAGGGUGAACGGGCACAUUGGGACUGAGGUACGGACCAGACUGCUACGGGCGGCAGCAGUGGAGAAUAUUGCGCAAUGAGGGGAAGCCUGAUGCAGCAACGCCGCGUGCGGGAUGACGGCUUACGGGUUGUAAACCGCUUUCGAAGGUGACGAAGAGUGAGUGACGGUAAUGAGUAAAGAAGCACCGGCUAACUACGUG
rnacentral:rRNA from 1 species